rnacentral:rRNA from 1 species
AACGAACGCUGGCGGCAUGCCUAACACAUGCAAGUCGAACGAGACCUUCGGGUCUAGUGGCGUACGGGUGCGUAACGCGUGGGAAGCUGCACUUAGGUUCGGAAUAACUCCCCGAAAGGGAUGCUAAUACCGGAUAAUGUCUUCGGACCAAAGAUUUAUUGCCUUGGGUUGGGCCCGCGUUGGAUUAGCUAGUUGGUAGGGUAAAAGCCGACCAAGGCGACGAUUCGUAGCUUGUCAGAGAGGAUGAUUAGCGACACUGGGACUGAGACACGGCCCAGACUCCUACGGGAGGCAGCAGUGGGGAAUAUUGCACAAUGGGCGAAAGUCUGAUCCAGCACUGCCGCGUGAGUGCUGAAGGCCUUAGGGUUGUAAAGCUCUUUUACCCGGGAUGAUAAUGACAGUACCGGGAGAAUAAGCUCCGGCUAACUCCGUG